AAAGAGGCAAAAGUAGA
rnacentral:sRNA from 1 species